UACGACCAUAUCAUAUUGAAACAUUGGUUCUCAUUCAAUUCCUGAAGUUAAGCAACACUGAGAUUGGCCAGUACUGAGAUGAGUGAUUGCUGGGGAAUACCAGGGGCUGUAAG